CAGAAGAGACCGUCUCUUCUGAACACACGUCGUUCUCCGGACUAUCUUCUCCUUUUUCCUUUGUUCUCCUAUUCCCGGCGGCGAUUUUCGAAACAGGUGGUACCUUGAUUGCUUAAUUGAUUAGGGCAGAGAGAGAGAGAGAGAAGUAAACUUGAUUCUAAUGAAAGAAGAGAAAAAGAACCAGAAAUUGGUUGUCCCUCACAUCAUCCUCCGCCUCCACCUGAUGAGUUGUUCGACCUUGAUACUACAGUUGAUCCUAGCUAUGUAAUCUCACUGAUAAGAAAACUCCUUCUAGUCGAUUCUGGAAGUGAAGAAUGUGAUCAAAGCACUGAGUUAAGGCAUAUGAAUGCCAACAAUGCGGUUUAAGCUUGGUUUGGAGAUGAGUUUGUGGAUGCUGCUUCUAAGGGUGAUCCAGAGAACAUGGACAUUGGAGGUAACCAUAACGAAUCCACUUCCGAGGAGAAGGACAAGGCGAGUUCAUCAGUGGAAGAGGCAUGGGAAGAGCAUGGAUGCGUUUUGUGGGAUCUUGCCACCAGUGAAACCCAUGCUGAUCUUAUGCAGAGCUUGAGAAGAGGAAGCACAAGCUCAAGCAUCUUGUUCAAUCUCCCAACUCAUUCUUGCUUCCAACCGUGGUACCGUCAUGGAGCUUGGUAUCACUCCUAUUGUCACUUCUGGUCUCGUGAUGCAGCUCUUAGCUGGGUCUAAGAUCAUUGAGGUUGAAGAGGUGGGCAGAUACUUCUUCAUCUCAUGAAGAACAUCCUCCUAACAUAGACAAACGCUCGCUUCAGGAUCUGCUCUUCUUUCUCCAUGUUCCUCGAACUGGAGGCAGGACUUAUUUUCACUGUUUCUUGAGGACGUUGUAUGAUAACGCUGAGGAAUGUCCUCGUUCUUACGACAAGCUCCACUUCGAUCCAAGUUACUGACAUUUGUAGGAAGCAAAAGUGCAAGUUGUUGGCCACGCAUGAUGAUUAUAGUUUAAUGUCUAAGCUUUCACUGCAAAUCCACCCUUCAAGUCAGUUUCUUUAUUCUCUUUUCAUCACUCUCUGUCUAUGAAGGUCUGGUUUGGUUUCUUGUUGCUUUUAUUAUAAGCAGGUUAACUUAUAAUGUGUAUGUCAUUAGAGUACUAGGGUAGAUAUCACUGGCAAAACUGGAUUUAGUAGUUUCAUUGCCAAACAUGAUAUGAGAUUUUAGUAAAUUAUUAUUUUGCUCAGAAAUAGAGGUCUUGAAUGUGUGUUGUUACUUGUUAGCUUUUCAUGACGAUGAUACUUUGUGAUUCCAGGAUUCAUCAAAGGGAUACAUGGUAGCAUUCGCUGGUGCGAAAUAUGCUGGAAGAUCAGUUCCAACUAUGGUUGCAUACAACGAUCACGUCGUCACAAGCUUCACCCUUGUAAUUGGAUAAGCUCUAGAUUUUCAUCUUAUAGAAACUUGUACCUCUAUGAUGAUCAGAUGUGUUUAAUAAUUUUUUUAAGAACCCUUAAAUAAGAGACUUGCA